GUGCUGGAUUCAGCAGCACAUAUGCAAAACCUCAGUAACAGAGAGGAUGAGCAAGGCCCCUGUGCAAGGGGGACAUGCAAAUUUAUAAAGUAUCCUCUUGUUCU